rnacentral:snRNA from 1 species
AUCACUUCUCAGCCUUUUGGCUAAGAGCAAGUGUAGUAUCUGUUCUUAUCAGUUUAAUAUCUGAUUCGUCCUCUAUCCAAGGACAAUAUAUCAAAUGGAUUUUUGGAGCAGAGAGAUGAAAUAAGGGCUUGCUCCAUCCACUCCAUGCAUUGACCUGGUAUUGCAGUACCUCCAGGAACAGUGCACAAAAG